rnacentral:lncRNA from 1 species
AGAAAGACUCCUGACUGUGGGUAAAGAGAUCUGAGGUUUGGUCUCUGGUGCCAUCACUCAUGAGGGAACCUUGGGCACAUCUCUAGUCAGCUUCAGGUUUCCUUCCCCAUCUAAGUCUGCUAAGAGAGUCAGGAAGAAAGUCCAACAGGAGCUUUGCCAGUUCUGACAUUCUAUCACAUGAAUGCACACAGCUGGGUGGCAGCAUUCUGGUCUCAUCUCUUAGUCACAAAGGUACUCCACUGUAUCAGAAUAUUUUCCUUGGCUGUGACCUCAGGCUAGGCCACAGGUCAGGACAGAAGAUAACACAGGGACCGUAUUGCUAUGGAGAAGAAGACAAGAAGUUAUCUGUUUUUCAAACAUAGAUGUGGAAUUAGGAAGUGAGAAAGAAAUGGAAUCUAGACUAGUCCAGUGGAUUGGAAUGAUCCCUUGGGGCUGUUGUCUUGAACAUGUCAGUUCCAGCUGCUGAAACACUGGGACCAUAGAGGGGUGAUAGAAAUUAGAAGACGGAGGUCAAUUAGGACCACGGUGGGGUUGGGGAAGACAAAGAAUUUGGUUUCUCACCUGUAAGCCAUAGGCAGCUGAUGGGAUGUUCAUUGCAGGAAGGAUUCUGGAUCUGAGUUUCAGAGUGAGCUUCCAUGGGCUAUGUGAAAUCACACACUAAAGGCUAGGAGUGGUCCAGGAGGUGAAAGCAACAGAUCAGGGAGAGGUCAGAAGCCGGAGUCAGGGUAGUGGCAAUGGGGUGGGAAAGAGAAGGACGUGGGCAGCAGAAUGGCUACAGUUUGGGGGUAUCUAGACACCAGGGCAGCAUUCUGGUCAGUUUUAUAUCAACUUGGCACAAUCCAGAGUCACUUGGGAAGAGGGACUCUAAACUGAGAAAUGCCUCCCUAAGGUUGGACAAUAGGCAAGUGUGAGAUAUAUUUUUAAUUAACGCUUGAUGUGGGUGGUGCCGCCCUUGGAUUGGAGUGGCAGUGUGUGUGGGAGCAGGGGUCAUCUGGGUAGUAUACGCAAGCCAUGAGGGGCAAGCCAGUAAGCAGCAUUCUCUAUAGCCUCUGCUUUAGCUCCUGCCUCCAGGUUUCUACCUUGAGCUCCUGGCCUGCCUUCCCUUACUGAUGAAACAGGACUGGAAAGUUAAAAGG